UGUUCUCAUCCUCUGAUUUCGUAUUUCCUAUCUAAGACAACCUAGAAUUACAUUUAAGCUGAUUUGGGGGAUUUUUUUUUUUUUACCUUUAAAAUGAUGGCUACAAUAUCAGGGGUGAAAUCUGGCUUCCAAGGAUACAAGUGCAUUUACAGGUCAGGCUAUAUAACAACUCUUCUUGUUCUGAUACUUACUGUGACACCACUUGGAUCGUUCAUGUAAGAUACCCAGGAGCCUGAGGACAGAAGAGAACCAAGCAGUGAAUGAAUAUAGAAUUAACGAGCUUUGAAGAAAUUCUGAAACACCUAAAGGAGCUCUGACAGAUUUUUUAAUUUGAGCAAAUACACCAUGGCCAUAAUAAGCAGUCUUCGUGUUUUUAGCCCUGCUGCCAUCAAAAAUAUUGACUAAA